GUCCUGAACUGGUUGCAGGGCUUCUCUGCAUUGGCAGGUAGAUGAUAACUCCACAUCAUGUAGUUAACCUGCCAAAGGAGAGUUGCCCUUUAACUGAUUCAACUUAAUAAAUCAUCCAUGUAUAUAGCCCCUUUUGUUCGUAGCUCACUCAAAAAGCUGUGAAUCUCCCCUAACAAAGAGGUGCAAAUUAUUGAGAAUUCACCCGAGAUGUUGGGCAUGGAGUCACAAGUUCUCUAAUAAUCAACCAGUCCAUUACUACUGUUCUACAAAGGAUAUCUUCUGACCACAUCAUAAUUAUUACCAUCCAUGCAUAACCAAUCUUGGUAUAGUUUCACAUUGUUAUAAUUACAAUUUCUUUUUGCUUAAACUACAUCCUGUCUUUUUGCAUGGCCUAAAUUUCAAUACCGCCGAGGAUUUAUUUUCUUUCAA